ACAGACUCUUGGCUUUUUGGCUAAGAUCAAGUAUAGUCUCUGUUCUUAUCAGUUCACUAUCUGAUAUGUUCUCUAUCUGAGGACAAUAUAUUAAAUGGAUU
rnacentral:snRNA from 1 species